rnacentral:rRNA from 1 species
GUCUAUGGCCAUGCCACCCUGAACGUGCCCGAUCUUGUCUGAUCUCAGAAGCUAAACGGGGUCAGGCCUAGUUAGUACUUGGAUGGGAGACCACCUAGGAAUACCAGGUGCUGUAAGCA